CGUCAGUUAAGAGAGUGUUUGUGAUUAGCUACUUUCAUUAGAGCAGAGAAGAACAGAGGGAUUCUUUGAGGACAUUAUGUGCUCCAUGAGUGCGGUGGACAACAGGAACCGGUGGAUAUGGUGUAUCUGGAUUUCCAAAAGAACACUGUCAUCAAGCUCCCCCACACCCUUGGGUGACAACUUUGACCAGAAAUUAUGACAGAACAGCCAUAUUGCCACGAUAGCUACAAGAGGAGGAUGAGGCUGGGUGAUGAACAGUUCACACUGUGGACCAGAUCAGACCCCCUCAAAAUAUUUUAAAAGUUUAUUCAAGAAGAAGAAGUUUAUUCCUGAGGAAGGGCUCAUGCCCGAAACGUCAAUUCUCCUGCUCCUUGAUGCUGCCUGACCUGCUGCGCUUUUCCAGCAACACAUUUUCAGCUCUGAUCUCCAGCAUCUGCAGUCCUCACUUUAUCCUAGUUUAUUCAAGGACUGUAUUCUAUUUAUUCUCCCCUUUUUAAUCAUUGUUUGGUCAUGUUUUUUUCAGAGAAUUCUCCCAAUCCCUCAGGCUUGGUAUUAUAUAUAACAUUAAAAAGUGUUCAUUUUUUUUAUCCAAUACUGCCCUUUCACGAUACAUCUUUCUGUAUCAGUUUUUUUUUAAAUGCAAUGCAUUGAACAUUUUGUGUUGUCUUUUCAAAUAUUUUCUAUUUACUAUCGUACUUUGUAGUCUGUUUUCCCAAUCAAUGUUAGCUAGCUUUCCUCUCAUACUGAUGUCAUUGGCUUUGUUUAGGUUAAGAAUCUUGUUUUGGGCACGUUAAAAUUAAACUUAUAUGAAAUUUGUUGAUUCUACAAUAUAUUGUUCCAGCAGUUGGCAAAUACAAUGUAUAUCUUCCUGUUUGAACCAGUUUGAUUAGUUGAGACUAUAUGAAGAUUAACAUCUCCCAUUAUCAGUACAUUGCCUUUGCUGUGAGCACUAAUUACUUCCUGCUAAUGAUGUGUUCAAUAACGUGAUAUCUUUUAAAAAUGCUCACAAACUACUCCUACCGCUGUUUUCUGACCUUUGUUCCUAAUCCAUACCCAACCUAAUCUUUUCAACCAAGAUCCUUAUUACAAUCAAAAAACAGAGAAUGUUGGAGGAAUUCUGUGAAGAGAAAACAGAGUUAAAGUUUCCAGUCCAGUGAUCCUUCUUCAGGACAUGCCCUUCUGUUCACACAUGAUGCCAGACGUGCUGAGUUUCUCCAGCAAUUUCUCCUUUUGCUUGUUUAAGAUCUCCAGCAUCCUUUCAUAUUG